AGAGUUGAUUAUGGCUCAGGAUGAACGCUAGCGACAGGCUAACACAUGCAAGUCGAGGGGCAGCAUAAAAGUAGCAAUACUUGGUGGCGACCGGCGCACGGGUGAGUAACGCGUAUGCAACCUACCUAUCAGAGGGGAAUAACCCGGCGAAAGCCGGACUAAUACCGCAUAAAACAGGGGCACCGCAUGGUGAUAUUUGUUGAAGAAAUUCGCUGAUAGAUGGGCAUGCGUUCCAUUAGGUAGUUGGUGAGGUAACGGCUCACCAAGCCGACGAUGGAUAGGGAACUGAGAGGUUGGUCCCCCACACUGGUACUGAGACACGGACCAGACUCCUACGGGAGGCAGCAGUGAGGAAUAUUGGUCAAUGGGCGGGAGCCUGAACCAGCCAAGUCGCGUGAAGGAAGAAGGAUCUAUGGUUCGUAAACUUCUUUUGCAGGGGAAUAAAGUGCAGGACGUGUCCUGUUUUGUAUGUACCCUGAGAAUAAGGAUCGGCUAACUCCGUGCCAGCCGCCGC
rnacentral:rRNA from 1 species